CCUGACUGCAUUUUAUUUAAAGGUGUUCUGGAACAUUAUCAAAAUUUCCCAUGGUAGCAUGUGAAGGAAGGGAGUACUGGUGCUACGCCUCCAUGACUAAAGGCUUUACCUUUGAAGGUUGGGCCAAAGAUUUCACAAGACACUCAGAACAUGAUUAAUGGUUCUACACAAAAACUCAUGUUAGCUGAUUCUGACACAUGCAGAUGACUCUGCCCACCAUUCUUCACUGAACAGGUAAAGUUUGGCAGCAACCUGAAGGAAUAUGGAGGUGGAAUCUUCCCCAGUAAAGUCUCCAGAUGACAAUGCAACCUGGCAAUGGACAUGAUUGCAACUCUCUUACACUCUGACUCUGUGCAGUCAGAUUCACAAUUUCCCCCACAAAAUCUAUCAAUGAUAAAUGCGUCACUUUAUGUCACUAACUUUGUGUUCAUUUGCUACCCAGCAAUAAAAGUGAAUAUAGUGAACCAAG